GCAAUGAAUCUUAACCAACAUAAGGAGUGCUAGGUUAGAGGUCUUACAGUAGCAACAAACAAAGGAUGAUGGGAAGUCCCCAAUGAAAAACUCAUACACCUGUGAAAAUAAAGAAAAUCCAAAAACCUAUAGGAAACGUCUCCUAACAAAGGGCUAUCUCCGAAAUCAAUAAAUAGAAACACAAAAACAAAGCUAACACCACGAUCAACGAAACAACAUAAACAAAAUCCUCAAGCAUCGUCACAACUGCCACAAAAACAACUUCUACCACCCACAUUCCGCUGCUCGCACACAACCCCUGAACACCAACUUAAAAACCUACACCACAACCAACAACCUUUGAAGAACAGUCUGAAAAAAAACCCCAAACACCAUCAUUAGCUCUCCUAAGCACCAUUAACUUGUAAAUUUAUUCUUAGAAUUAUGAUUAUUGGAACUUUACAUUUUAAAGUUUAUUUCAAGUUUUAACAAAUUAUGAUUAAAAUGCUUUUUAUUCUUGGAAAAAUCCUUUUAUUCUCAUGUUAAAGAGUGAAAAUCAUAUGUUUUUAUGUAAACAAGACAUAAUUAAAUGUCUUUAAGGUUUAAUUUAACUAACAAUGUCAUAAAUUGAAUUUCUUUAUGCGAUUUCAAAUCGAUAUUUCAUUGAACAUAAAGCAAAAAAAAAGUAAAAAUAACCGGCCACCCUCUAAGUAUUUUAACACUUUUUUUUUUAAAAUCAAAACACUAAAGUAGUUCUACCCACUUAAUCUGAUGUAAAUAAUAAUACAUCAAUAUUUUAAGAAGAGUCAUAUUAUCAACUCUUUCAACAUUCUAAACACCAGUAAACAAUAAAACACAACUUUUGGUGCAUAUGAUAUGCUCAAUAAUUAAAAAUCCGAACCAAAAAAGUAUAGGAGUAUGUGUACAAGAGUGAGAUAGCCUUUGAAAUCAUUAUGCACUUCACAAUAUAAAAAGCAUAAAACGGGACCUCUCACCUUAGUGUGCUAUAGUUUUCUUCAAGUUAGGAAAAGAAGACUCAAAUAAACACUGAAAUCAGGACUCGUAAUCAUCGUCAUUUGUUUUGUUGAUAAAAUAGUUACUACAGCUCAUCAUAUCAUUAUAAAAAAUAAAAUUAGAAUCAUUGUGAAUGCGUUCAAUUAUUUAAAAGUAACCAUGCAUUUAUAUAUACGAACAAGGCAUGAGAAAGAGA
rnacentral:lncRNA from 1 species